rnacentral:misc_RNA from 1 species
GAUGAAGAACGUAGCGAAAUGCGAUAAGUAAUGUGAAUUGCAGAAUUUAGUGAAUCAUCGAGUCUUUGAACGCACAUUGCGCCCCCUGGUAUUCCGGGGGGCAUGCCUGUCCGAGCGUCAUUGCUGCCCUCAAGCACGGCUUGUGUGUUGGGCCUCCGUCCUCCUCCCGGGGGACGGGCCCGAAAGGCAGCGGCGGCACCGCGUCCGGUCCUCGAGCGUAUGGGGCUUCGUCACCCGCUCUUGUAGGCCCGGCCGGCGCUUGCCGACACAUCAAUCUUUUUUCCAGGUUGACCUCGGAUCAGGUAGGGAUACCCGCUGAACUUAAGCAUAUCAAUAAGCGGAGG